UAGGGAAUUUUCGGCAAUGGGCGAAAGCCUGACCGAGCAACGCCGCGUGAAGGAAGAAGGCCUUCGGGUUGUAAACUUCUGUUAUAAAGGAAGAACGAUGUGAUCAGGGAAUGGGUCACAAGUGACGGUACUUUAUGAGGAAGCCACGGCUAACUACGUGCCAGCAGCCGCGGUAAUACGUAGGUGGCGAGCGUUAUCCGGAAUUAUUGGGCGUAAAGAGGGAGCAGGCGGCGAUCAAGGUCUGCGGUGAAAGACUGAAGCUCAACUUCAGUAAGCCGUGGAAACCGGGUAGCUAGAGUGCAGUAGAGGAUCGUGGAAUUCCAUGUGUAGCGGUGAAAUGCGUAGAUAUAUGGAGGAACACCAGUGGCGAAGGCGACGAUCUGGGCUGUAACUGACGCUCAGUCCCGAAAGCGUGGGGAGCAAAUAGG
rnacentral:rRNA from 1 species